UACACUCCAUGUGGGGCUUGAACUCACAACCCUGAGAUCAAGAAUCACACGCUACCAAGCGAGCCAGCCAAGUGUCCUGCACUUUUUUCAUUGAGCAUCAUUUUUACAUAAAAGAGCAACCGACAAACUGGAGAGUCAGACUUGGGUAAUCGGCAAAUAUUUUCCUGGAAAUGAGCAAAGUGAGCUUUUCAUUUCAAGAAAAACAACUAAAAGCGUUUGUUGGCAAAGAUAAAAUUAGAACUCUAAAGAGAAAAUUAGGAUUUUGGAAAACUUACAUCUGCCUAGGCAAGCAUGCCAGCUUCUCAAUGCUUAAAGACAUUUUUGAUGAGACCAGUCGUAAUUUUUUUAAAUGUGAUUUUUGUGAUAUCAUCUAAUGAAUUGUGCCAACAUUUUGAAGAUAUGCAUAACUCAGUGAAGCAAUACUUUCUAAACAAAAGCUAUGUGUCUGUGUGAAGCUGGAUUUCCUACAAGCAGUUCAAACAAAAGAGCCUAACAUGACAGAUUAAAUGUAGAAACAGACAUAAGAAUCAACUUGUCUUCUAGUUAGCCAGAUAUUAGAGAUUUACAAAAAUGUAAGUGCCACUUACUACAUUGUUUUAUAAAAUAUUAUUUUCAUAAAA